AUUGAACGCUGGCGGCAUGCCUUACACAUGCAAGUCGAACGGCAGCACGGGUGCUUGCACCUGGUGGCGAGUGGCGAACGGAUGAGUAAUACAUCGGAACGUACCUUAUCGUGGGGGAUAACGCAGCGAAAGCUGUGCUAAUACCGCAUACGCCCUGAGGGGGAAAGCGGGGGAUCGCAAGACCUCGCGCGAUUAGAGCGGCCGAUGCCUGAUUAGCUUGUUGGUGGGGUAAAAGCCCACCAAGGCGACGAUCAGUAGCUGGUCUGAGAGGACGAUCAGCCACACUGGGACUGAGACACGGCCCAGACUCCUACGGGAGGCAGCAGUGGGGAAUUUUGGACAAUGGGGGCAACCCUGAUCCAGCAAUGCCGCGUGAGUGAAGAAGGCCUUCGGGUUGUAAAGCUCUUCUGUCAGGGAAGUAACAGCAGCUCUAACACAGUAUGCGAAUGACGGUACCUGAAGAAUAAGCACCGGCUAACUACGUGCCAGCAGCCGCCGUAA
rnacentral:rRNA from 1 species